rnacentral:rRNA from 1 species
UACGGAGGGUGCAAGCGUUGUCCGGAUUUAUUGGGUUUAAAGGGUGCGUAGGCGGCUUUGUAAGUCCGUGGUGAAAGCCAACAGCUCAACUGUUGAACUGCCAUGGAUACUGCAGGGCUUGAGUACAGACGAGGUAGGCGGAAUUGAUGGUGUAGCGGUGAAAUGCAUAGAUACCAUCAAGAACCCCGAUUGCGAAGGCAGCUUACUAGGCUGUAACUGACGCUGAGGCACGAAAGCGUGGGGAGCGAACAGG